UGGGAAUUUUGGACAAUUGGGCGAAAGCCUGAUCCAGCAAUGCCGCGUGUGUGAAGAAGGCCUUCGGGUUGUAAAGCACUUUUGUCCGGAAAGAAAUCCUUGGCUCUAAUACAGUCGGGGGAUGACGGUACCGGAAGAAUAAGCACCGGCUAACUACGUGCCAGCAGCCGCGGUAAUACGUAGGGUGCAAGCGUUAAUCGGAAUUACUGGGCGUAAAGCGUGCGCAGGCGGUUUGCUAAGACCGAUGUGAAAUCCCCGGGCUCAACCUGGGAACUGCAUUGGUGACUGGCAGGCUAGAGUAUGGCAGAGGGGGGUAGAAUUCCACGUGUAGCAGUGAAAUGCGUAGAGAUGUGGAGGAAUACCGAUGGCGAAGGCAGCCCCCUGGCAAGUACUGACGCUCAUGCACGAAAGCGUGGGGAGCAAACAGGAUUAAUACCCUGGUAGUCCACGCCCUAAANGAUGUCAACUAGUUGUUGGGGGAUUCAUUUUCCUUAGUAACGUAGCUAACGCGUGAAGUUGACCGCCUGGGGAGUACGGUCGCAAGAUUAAAACUCAAAGAAUUGACGGGGUC
rnacentral:rRNA from 1 species